GCUGUGGUCUCCAGUGCCAUGAACUCAGCCGCUGUCCUGGGCACCAGCCCAUCUUCCCCGACCUUCACCUUCACCCUCGGACGGCAUUACUCGCAGGACUGCAGCAGCAUCAAGGCUGGCCGCCGCUCCUCCUACCUGCUGGCCAUCACCACGGAGCGCUCCAAGUCCUGCGAUGAUGGACUCAACACCUUCCGCGACGAGGGCCGGGUUCUGCGGUG
rnacentral:lncRNA from 1 species